CCCUUAGAUGUUCUGGGCCGCACGCGCGCUACACUGACGGAGGCAGCGAGCGUGUCCUUCGCCGGCAGGUGCGGGCAAUCUUGCGAGUCUCCGUCGUGCUGGGGAUAGAUGGUUGCAAUUGUCGAUCUUGAACGAGGAAUUCCUAGUAAGCGCGAGUCAUCAGCUCGCGUUGAUUACGUCCCUGCCCUUUGUACACACCGCCCGUCGCUACUACCGAUUGAAUGGUUUAGUGAGGCCUUCGGAUCCGCGACUCGUUUGUGGAGAAGUUGGACAAACUCAGUCAUUUAGAGGAAGUAAAAGUCGUAACA
rnacentral:rRNA from 1 species